rnacentral:rRNA from 1 species
AAAUUGAAGAGUUUGAUCAUGGCUCAGAUUGAACGCUGGCGGCAGGCCUAACACAUGCAAGUCGAACGGUAACAGGAAGCAGCUUGCUGCUUUGCUGACGAGUGGCGGACGGGUGAGUAAUGUCUGGGAAACUGCCUGAUGGAGGGGGAUAACUACUGGAAACGGUGGCUAAUACCGCAUAACGUCGCAAGACCAAAGAGGGGGACCUUCGGGCCUCUUGCCAUCAGAUGUGCCCAGAUGGGAUUAGCUAGUUGGUGAGGUAACGGCUCACCAAGGCGACGAUCCCUAGCUGGUCUGAGAGGAUGGCCAGCCACACUGGAACUGAGACACGGUCCAGACUCCUACGGGAGGCAGCAGUGGGGAAUAUUGCACAAUGGGCGCAAGCCUGAUGCAGCCAUGCCGCGUGUAUGAAGAAGGCCUUCGGGUUGUAAAGUACUUUCAGCGGGGAGGAAGGUGUUGUGGUUAAUAACCGCAGCAAUUGACGUUACCCGCAGAAGAAGCACCGGCUAACUCCGUGCCAGCAGCCGCGGUAAUACGGAGGGUGCAAGCGUUAAUCGGAAUUACUGGGCGUAAAGCGCACGCAGGCGGUCUGUCAAGUCGGAUGUGAAAUCCCCGGGCUCAACCUGGGAACUGCAUUCGAAACUGGCA